rnacentral:sRNA from 23 species
UCGUUCUGAUGUCGGGAGGCGUCAUCGUAAGGUGACGGGGAGUAUUCCUCAACAAUCGCCCUGGUGCACAGGUAGCGAACUCCUGUAAGAACUCAACAUGUGCAAGCUCUGCUACAUCGACAUCAAACG